AGGAAUGCAUGGGUAACCUGCCCUUGAGAAGGGAAUAACCCGCCGAAAGGUGGGCUAAUACCCUAUACGCUUCUCUUUUUAUGAAGAGGGAAGGAAAGCUAAGCCGUGGGCUUGGCACUCAAGGAGGGGCUCAUGUCCUAUCAGCUUGUUGGUGGGGUAACGGCCUACCAAGGCUACGACGGGUAGCUGGUCUGAGAGGAUGAUCAGCCACACUGGCACUGAGAUACGGGCCAG
rnacentral:rRNA from 1 species